CGAAGCGAAAGGAGCAAUCUGCAUCAAUACACCUGGUGGUUACCGAUGCGAUUGUCCCCACAAUUGCGUAACCGAGUGGUCACUAACUGGAAUACGCUGCACGGAUUGUGACACUAAUGUGGCUAAACAAGAAACUACUGCUACUACUGAUCAACCGACGGUGGUAUUGAUCGGCGGACCGGGACAAAA